rnacentral:rRNA from 1 species
ACUACGGGAGGCUGCAGUGGGGGAUAUUGCACAAUGGGGGGAACCCUGAUGCAGCGACGCCGCGUGGGUGAAGAAGCGCCUCGGCGCGUAAAGCCCUGUCAGCAGGGAAGAAAAUGACGGUACCUGAAGAAGAAGCCCCGGCUAACUACGUGCCAGCAGCCGCGGUAAUACGUAGGGGGCAAGCGUUAUCCGGAUUUACUGGGUGUAAAGGGGGCGCAGACGGCGAUGCAAGCCAGGAGUGAAAGCCCGGGGCCCAACCCCGGGACUGCUCUUGGAACUGCGUGGCUGGAGUGCAGGAGGGGCAGGCGGAAUUCCUGGUGGAGCGGUGAAAUGCGUAGAUAUCAGGAGGAACACCGGUGGCGAAGGCGGCCUGCUGGACUGCAACUGACGUUGAGGCCCGAAAGCGUGGGGAGCAAACAGGAUUAGAUACCCUUGUAGUC